GCACGAGAAGCUCAAUUGUUAGAGCGCCGGUCUUGUAAACCGGAGGUUGAAGGUUAAAACCCUUCCUUAUGCU
rnacentral:tRNA from 1 species